GAUGUGUAACCUUGAAAGUGGUUUUUGCACUACCUGAUUCAAUUUGGUUUGGUAAUGUAUUGUAUCUUUUAGUAAAUAAUUAUUCAUCUUAUCUUCUACUUAGAAAAUCUAUAUAUGCUUCCAUUUGUUGUAACUUUUAAGUGAUGGUUAACUCAAAAGAAAAUUUAACCGUGAUCAAUUUGGAGCAAUUAAACCUCUAUGAGAAUAUAUUUCAUUUUUUGAAUCAUCGUUUGAGUUAUGAGAUGAACGUAAAAUCUUGUGCUAAUUUUUGGAUUAGUUAUUUGAAUGUGCAUAUGAUUAUGUAG
rnacentral:lncRNA from 1 species